AGAGUUUGAUCCUGGCUCAGGAUGAACGCUGGCGGCGUGCUUAACACAUGCAAGUCGAACGGUGAAGCCCAGCUUGCUGGGUGGAUCAGUGGCGAACGGGUGAGUAACACGUGAGCAAUCUGCCCCUGACUCUGGGAUAAGCGCUGGAAACGGCGUCUAAUACUGGAUAUGAACCGUGGAGGCAUCUUCAACGGUUGGAAAGAUUUUUUGGUCAGGGAUGAGCUCGCGGCCUAUCAGCUUGUUGGUGAGGUAAUGGCUCACCAAGGCGUCGACGGGUAGCCGGCCUGAGAGGGUGACCGGCCACACUGGGACUGAGACACGGCCCAGACUCCUACGGGAGGCAGCAGUGGGGAAUAUUGCACAAUGGGCGCAAGCCUGAUGCAGCAACGCCGCGUGAGGGAUGACGGCCUUCGGGUUGUAAACCUCUUUUAGCAGGGAAGAAGCGAAAGUGACGGUACCUGCAGAAAAAGCGCCGGCUAACUACGUGCCAGCAGCCGCGGUAAUACGUAGGGCGCAAGCGUUAUCCGGAAUUAUUGGGCGUAAAGAGCUCGUAGGCGGUUUGUCGCGUCUGCUGUGAAAUCCCGAGGCUCAACCUCGGGUCUGCAGUGGGUACGGGCAGACUAGAGUGCGGUAGGGGAGAUUGGAAUUCCUGGUGUAGCGGUGGAAUGCGCAGAUAUCAGGAGGAACACCGAUGGCGAAGGCAGAUCUCUGGGCCGUAACUGACGCUGAGGAGCGAAAGGGUGGGGAGCAAACAGGCUUAGAUACCCUGGUAGUCCACCCCGUAAACGUUGGGAACUAGUUGUGGGGUCCAUUCCACGGAUUCCGUGACGCAGCUAACGCAUUAAGUUCCCCGCCUGGGGAGUACGGCCGCAAGGCUAAAACUCAAAGGAAUUGACGGGGACCCGCACAAGCGGCGGAGCAUGCGGAUUAAUUCGAUGCAACGCGAAGAACCUUACCAAGGCUUGACAUAUACGAGAACGCUGCAGAAAUGUAGAACUCUUUGGACACUCGUAAACAGGUGGUGCAUGGUUGUCGUCAGCUCGUGUCGUGAGAUGUUGGGUUAAGUCCCGCAACGAGCGCAACCCUCGUUCUAUGUUGCCAGCACGUAAUGGUGGGAACUCAUGGGAUACUGCCGGGGUCAACUCGGAGGAAGGUGGGGAUGACGUCAAAUCAUCAUGCCCCUUAUGUCUUGGGCUUCACGCAUGCUACAAUGGCCGGUACAAAGGGCUGCAAUACCGUAAGGUGGAGCGAAUCCCAAAAAGCCGGUCCCAGUUCGGAUUGAGGUCUGCAACUCGACCUCAUGAAGUCGGAGUCGCUAGUAAUCGCAGAUCAGCAACGCUGCGGUGAAUACGUUCCCGGGUCUUGUACACACCGCCCGUCAAGUCAUGAAAGUCGGUAACACCUGAAGCCGGUGGCCCAACCCUUGUGGAGGGAGCCGUCGAAGGUGGGAUCGGUAAUUAGGACUAAGUCGUAACAAGGUAGCCGUACCGGAAGGUGCGGCUGGAUCACCU
rnacentral:rRNA from 2 species